GUAGGUGAACCUGCGGAGGGAUCAUUCACAUGAUUACUUUUAUAUAUAAACAAACUGUGAACUUUAUAUACUAUUCGUGUUAUUUUGAAUUUUUUUUCUCAAAAUUAACAUUGUCAUUCGAUUGAACAUAAGAUAGUUGGCUUGAUUUAUUUGUUUUACAAAUAUCUCUUUCUCAGCUUUGAUUUGAUAGAACUAAACAUUUUAUCAAUCAACCAUAAACAUAGAAACAACUCUAUGCCCUGGAUAUCUUGGUUCUC
rnacentral:misc_RNA from 1 species